rnacentral:rRNA from 1 species
CAAAAACAUGUCUCUUUGUAAAAUAUAAAUAGAGAGUCGGGCCUGCUCGGUGAAUAAGUUUUUAACAGCUGCGGUAUUUUAACUGUACUAAGGUAGCAUAAUAAUUUGCCUUAUAAUUUGAGGCUAGAAUGAAUGGUUUGACGAAGGUUAAUCUGUCUCCACCUUAUUUUUUAGAAGUUAAUUUUUAAAGUGAAAAAGCUUAAAUCUUUCAAAGGGACGAGAAGACCCUAAUGAGCUUAUAAUUUUAUUAUCAUUAUCUAAAAUAUUUAGGUGGUGGUAUAUAAAUUUUAAUUGGGGUGAUUAAGGAAUAAAUUGUGUAUAGUAACUUCCUUAAAUUAGGUAUUUGUAGAUAAAGUAACCAAUGUAAUAUUGCUUAUAGUAUAGUUACCAUAGGGAUAACAGCGUAAUUUGUUUAGAGAGUUCUUAUUGAAAAACGAGAUUGCGACCUCGAUGUUGGAUUAAAGUAACCCUAGGGUGCAGAAGCUUUAGUAGGUAAAUCUGUUCGA